AUGGCUUUGAGCUCCAGCUGCCGGACAUGGCACUGCUUGCUUGCCCUCUUCCUCCUCUCCUCGGCGGCCUAUGGGCAGCUCUCGCCGUCAUUCUACGCAAAGAGCUGCCCAACGCUUGAGCUCAUCGUGCGCGCCACCAUGAUCAAGGCCCUCCUCGCCGAGCGCCGAAUGGGGGCGUCCCUCCUCAGGCUCCACUUCCAUGACUGCUUUGUUCAAGGCUGCGACGGGUCCAUUCUCUUGGAUGACGUGGGUAGCUUCGUGGGCGAGAAGACUGCCUUUCCGAACGUGAACUCGGUGCGGGGCUACGAGGUGAUCGACGAGAUCAAGAGGAACGUGGAGCUGGUCUGCCCUGGCGUCGUCUCCUGCGCCGACAUCACUGCCCUCGCAGCACGGGACGGCGUCUUUCUGCUAGGCGGGCCAAGCUGGGCGGUGCCGCUCGGCCACCGGGACUCGACGACGGCCAGCCUGACUCAGGCGAACAGCGACCUCCCAGGGCCCAGCUUAAACCUGGACCAGCUCAUCGCCGCGUUCGCAAAGAAGCAGCUGAGCCCGCGGGACCUCACGGCGCUGUCCGGCACCCACACCAUCGGCUUCUCGCAGUGCCUCAACUUCCGCGACCACAUCUACAAUGGCACCAACAUCGACCCGGCGUUCGCCGCGCUGCGCAAGGGCGCCUGCCCCGCCCUGGCCCCUAACGGCGACACCAACCUGGCGCCGUUAGACGUGCAGACGCCGCUCUUCUUCGACAACGCCUACUAUCGCAACUUGGUGGCCAAGCGCGGCCUGCUCAACUCCGACCAGGUGCUCUUCAACGGCGGCUCCCAGGACGCGCUAGUGCGGCAGUAUGCCGCCAACCCGACGCUCUUCGCCUCCGACUUGGUGACGGCCAUGAUCAAGAUGGCGAGCCUCACCCCGCCCAGCGGAACACCCACCCAGAUUAGGCGUAACUGCAGGGUCGUCAACAGCUGA
rnacentral:rRNA from 1 species